rnacentral:misc_RNA from 1 species
CUGCCCCCGUCGUCCUCUCCAUUUCCUUCUGUCUGCUUGCCCUCAAACCCUAGCCCGUACCGGCGUCCACCUUCGCGCACCCUCGCCUCACCAAACACCCACGGCGCAUUGGCGCUUCCACCUCUUAUCAUGCGGUACUCCAUUACUUCUCCGCCCGCGCCAUCAUUUCGGCCACACCUCAGUCUGUUGGUCGGUCGCAGAUCCCUUGCCCCGUCGAGCUUAAUAUGCAAUCCGUUGCUUGUGAAGAUUGUCGUGUUUUGGACAAUGCCAACCUUUGUUUCCGCUGUGCCUGCCAAGGAUGGUAGGUGUACUGAAACAGAUGAUGACAAACUUUCUGAAUUGCAUGAAAGUGAACCAGGAUAUGCUAAUUGGAUUUUCCAAAAGAUUGGAUCUUUUGAGUGGAAUAUCACAAAUUCUCUUACUACAAAAAAUAGGUCCCACUGGGACUCGAACCCAGCAGUGCUUGAGGAUUCAGUGAUCAGCAGAUCUGCAAGGACAAAAGGACCAAAGGAGUGA